rnacentral:rRNA from 1 species
UACGAAGGGGGCUAGCGUUGCUCGGAAUCACUGGGCGUAAAGGGUGCGUAGGCGGGUCUUUUAAGUCAGGGGUGAAAUCCUGGAGCUCAACUCCAGAACUGCCUUUGAUACUGAAGAUCUUGAGUUCGGGAGAGGUGAGUGGAACUGCGAGUGUAGAGGUGAAAUUCGUAGAUAUUCGCAAGAACACCAGUGGCGAAGGCGGCUCACUGCGCCGACUA